CGGGCUCCGGGGCUCCCGGGCUCCCGGGCGUCUGGCCUGGGUGGGACUGAGCCCAUCCAGGGACUGGGACUCCCGGGUUCUGGUGCGGGUGGAUCCUGGGCAGGCUCAUGACCAAGUCCCUCUCCUUCCACCAAGGAGCGCCCAGAGGCCGGCAGGAGCUCCAGGUUCACCUCCUCCUCCUUCAGGAAAUCCCACUUCCAUCUGGAUGUCUGGAUGAACUACUGAAAGCCGCUGAGUGUCCUGCAGCAGCUGAACUGUGGCCAGAGCCCAAGGAUGAAGGCGGCUCCCUCUGUCUGUGACUGUGAAGAGGAAGCCUGAGGUGUAGCAGACCCAGGCCCCAGAAGGAUGGAAAAAAUGAGGUAGGGAGUGAGGGGACCUCAGGAGAAGACUGAGGUCUGCAGA
rnacentral:lncRNA from 10 species